GACGGGGGAUGCAAGUGUUAUCCGGAAUCACUGGGCGUAAAGCGUCUGCAGGUGGUUUCCUAAGUCCACUGUUAAACCUUGAGGCUCAACCUCAAAUCUGCAUUGGAAACUAGGAGACUUGAGUAUAGUAGGGGUAGAGGGAAUUUCCAGUGGAGCGGUGAGAUGCGUAGAUAUUGGAAAGAACACCGAUGGCGAAGGCACUCUACUGGGCUAUUACUGACACUCAGAGACGAAAGCUAGGGGAGCAAAUGGG
rnacentral:rRNA from 1 species